rnacentral:rRNA from 1 species
UUUUCGGAGAGUUUGAUCCUGGCUCAGGACGAACGCUGGCGGCGUGCCUAAUACAUGCAAGUCGAGCGGACAGAAGGGAGCUUGCUCCCGGAUGUUAGCGGCGGACGGGUGAGUAACACGUGGGUAACCUGCCUGUAAGACUGGGAUAACUCCGGGAAACCGGAGCUAAUACCGGAUAGUUCCUUGAACCGCAUGGUUCAAGGAUGAAAGACGGUUUCGGCUGUCGCUUACAGAUGGACCCGCGGCGCAUUAGCUAGUUGGUGAGGUAACGGCUCACCAAGGCGACGAUGCGUAGCCGACC